UACAGAGGGUGCGAGCGUUAAUCGGAGUUACUGGGCGUAAAGGGCGCGUAGGUGGCGGAGCAAGUCAACGGUGAAAGCUCGACGCUCAACGUCGAGUCGGCCGUCGAGACUGCUUUGCUCGAGCACUGUAGAGGCAGAUGGAAUUCCUGGUGUAGCAGUGAAAUGCGUAGAUAUCAGGAGGAACACCGAUGGCGAAGGCAGGUCUCUGGGCUGACACUGACGCUCAUGCACGAAAG
rnacentral:rRNA from 1 species